CCACUGCAGAUUCUGAGCCCAGGGAAUCGGGGCUGGAGAAAUCCCACAUCGGCAGCUGUCAGCAGGACUGAUUGGAGAAGUGCUGCUUUUUCUCAUGAAACACACUAUAAACAAAAAAGAGAUUCAAAUGAGCAUUUAGGACAAGUGCCAGAAAAGAUUCUGGAUCCCAUCCAGAGUGCCUCCAAAAGACUAGCUAAUUCCGGGCAGGAGGAAAAGGGAGAAAGAAGGACGGUGUUUCAAACAGGAAACAAAGGGUGGACAAGAGGGAUGAGAAGUCCAAAGGAGGAAGGAGACAGAGAACCUCUAUCACAGGUGAGACAAAAGUGAAGAAGGGCCUUUGUAGCUGGGCUAUCGUCCAGCAUGGAACAUCCUCCAUUCUCCCAUGAGGCCCCUCUCCUG
rnacentral:lncRNA from 1 species